GUUUGAACCUAGAGGAAGAUUGAUUUGGCUUCUGCUGAAAAAUGGAAAAACAUACAUUUGCCUUUUGCUGAAGAGCUACAUUGGAGAGCUCCUUUCUUGAGGUCCACAUAACUCCCUUUUUUAAAAUCUGCAUCAAGAUUAAAUAAACAUAAUUUCAUUUACCAUGAAGCUUACCAUGAGCUUUCUAUCUAUAUUUGUUGCCUUUGUUGGCAUAAUAAGUUUCACAUUUUUGGUAGUGGC